rnacentral:tRNA from 1 species
GGUUGAUCAGCUCUGUUGGCUAGAGCGUCCCGCUAGCUAGCGGGAAGGUCAUCGGUUCGAAUCCGUUAUCCUCCA